rnacentral:rRNA from 1 species
UACAGAGGUCUCAAGCGUUGUUCGGAUUCAUUGGGCGUAAAGGGUGCGUAGGUGGCGCGCUAAGUCAGGUGUGAAAUUUCGGAGCUUAACUCCGAAACUGCAUUUGAUACUGGCGUGCUUGAGGACUGGAGAGGAGAUGCUGGAAUUCAUGGUGUAGCAGUAGAAUGCGUAGAGAUCAUGAGGAAGACCAGUGGCGAAGGCGGGUCUCUGGACAGUUCCUGACACUGAGGCACGAAGGCCAGGGGAGCAAACAGG